AUUGAACGCUGGCGGAAUGCUUUACACAUGCAAGUCGAACGGCAGCACGGGAGCUUGCUCCUGGUGGCGAGUGGCGAACGGGUGAGUAAUAUAUCGGAACGUAUCCAAUAAUGGGGGAUAACUAGUCGAAAGAUUAGCUAAUACCGCAUACGCCCUGAGGGGGAAAGCUGGGGAUCUUCGGACCUAGCGUUAAUGGAGCGGCCGAUAUCUGAUUAGCUAGUAGGUGAGGUAAAAGCUCACCUAGGCGACGAUCAGUAGCUGGUCUGAGAGGACGACCAGCCACACUGGAACUGAGACACGGUCCAGACUCCUACGGGAGGCAGCAGUGGGGAAUUUUGGACAAUGGGGGCAACCCUGAUCCAGCCAUUCCGCGUGAGUGAAGAAGGCCUUCGGGUUGUAAAGCUCUUUCGCAAGGGAAGAAAACUUAACCUCUAACAUAGGUUGAGGCUGACGGUACCUUGAUAAGAAGCACCGGCUAACUACGUGCCAGCCGCCGCAGUAA
rnacentral:rRNA from 1 species